UACGAAGGGGGCUAGCGUUGCUCGGAAUCACUGGGCGUAAAGCGCACGUAGGCGGCUUUCUAAGUCAGGGGUGAAAUCCUGGAGCUCAACUCCAGAACUGCCUUUGAUACUGGAGAGCUUGAGUCCGGAAGAGGUGAGUGGAACUCCGAGUGUAGAGGUGAAAUUCGUAGAUAUUCGGAAGAACACCAGUGGCGAAGGCGGCUCACUGGCCCGGUACUGACGCUCAUGUGCGAAAGCGUGGGGAGCAAACAGG
rnacentral:rRNA from 1 species